UACGAAGGGUGCAAGCGUUAUUCGGAAUUACUGGGCGUAAAGGGUGCGUAGGUGGUUGUUUAAGUCUGAUGUGAAAGCCCCGGGCUCAACCUGGGAAUGGCAGUGGAUACUGGACAGCUAGAGUGCGGUAGAGGGUAGUGGAAUUCCCGGUGUAGCAGUGAAAUGCGUAGAGAUCGGGAGGAACACCAGUGGCGAAGGCGGCUACCUGGACCAGCACUGACACUGAAGCACGAAAGCGUGGGGAGCAAACAGG
rnacentral:rRNA from 1 species